AGAGGAACCGUCACUGCGUGGUUAGGGUUAGGUACAGGUGUGUACUUCUAGGUAUACCACAGAAGAUACAGGUGUGUACUUCUAGGUAUACCACAGAAGAUACAGGUUUGUACUUCUAGGUAUACCACAGAAGAUACAGGUACUACAGGAAGACCAUGGAUACUACAGGUGUGUACUUCUAGGUAUACCACAGAAGAUACAGGUACUACAGGAAGACCAUGGAUACUACAGGUGUGUACUUCUAGGUAUACCACAGAAGAUACAGGUGCGUACUUCUAGGUAUACCACAGAAGAUACAGGUGUGUACUUCUAGGUAUACCACAGAAGAUACAGGUACUACAGGAAGACCAUGGAUACUACAGGUGUGUACUUCUAGGUAUACCACAGAAGAUACAGGUGCGUACUUCUAGGUAUACCACAGAAGAUACAGGUGCGUACUUCUAGGUAUACCACAGAAGAUACAGGUGUGUACUUCUAGGUAUACCACAGAAGAUACAGGUGUGUACUUCUAGGUAUACCACAGAAGAUACAGGUGCGUACUUCUAGGUAUACCACAGAAGAUACAGGUGCGUACUUCUAGGUAUACCACAGAAGAUACAGGUGUGUACUUCUAGGUAUACCACAGAAGAUACAGGUGUGUAUUCUAGGUAUACCACAGAAGAUACAGGUGUGUACUUCUAGGUAUACCACAGAAGAUACAGGUGUGUACUUCUAGGUAUACCACAGAAGAUACAGGUACUACAGGAAGACCAUGGAUACUACAGGUGUGUACUUCUAGGUAUACCACAGAAGAUACAGGUGUGUACUUCUAGGUAUACCACAGAAGAUACAGGUGUGUACUUCUAGGUAUAUCACAGAAGAUACAGGUGUGUACUUCUAGGUAUACCACAGAAGAUACAGGUGUGUACUUCUAGGUAUACCACAGAAGAUACAGGUACUACAGGAAGACCAUGGAUACUAGAGGUGUGUACUUCUAGGUAUACCACAGAAGAUACAGGUACUACAGGAAGACCAUGGAUACUACAGGUGCGUACUUCUAGGUAUACCACAGAAGAUACAGGUGUGUACUUCUAGGUAUACCACAGAAGAUACAGGUGCGUACUUCUAGGUAUACCACAGAAGAUACAGGUGUGUACUUCUAGGUAUACCACAGAAGGUACAGGUGUGUACUUCUAGGUAUACCACAGAAGAUACAGGUGUGUACUUCUAGGUAUACCACAGAAGAUACAGGUGUGUACUUCUAGGUAUACCACAGAAGAUACAGGUGUGUACUUCUAGGUAUACCACAGAAGAUACAGGUACUACAGGAAGACCAUGGAUACUAGAGGUGUGUACUUCUAGGUAUACCACAGAAGGUACAGGUGUGUACUUCUAGGUAUACCACAGAAGAUACAGGUGUGUACUUCUAGGUAUACCACAGAAGAUACAGGUACUACAGGAAGACCAUGGAUACUACAGGUGCGUACUUCUAGGUAUACCACAGAAGAUACAGGUGUGUACUUCUAGGUAUACCACAGAAGAUACAGGUGCGUACUUCUAGGUAUACCACAGAAGAUACAGGUGUGUACUUCUAGGUAUACCACAGAAGAUACAGGUACUACAGGAAGACCAUGGAUACUACAGGUGCGUACUUCUAGGUAUACCAGAGAAGAUACAGGUAUUACAGGAAGACCAUGGAUACUACAGGUGCGUACUUCUAGGUAUACCACAGAAGAUACAGGUACUAGAGGAAGACCAUGGAUACUACAGGUGCGUACUUCUAGGUAUACCACAGAAGAUACAGGUGUGUACUUCUAGGUAUACCACAGAAGAUACAGGUGUGUACUUCUAGGUAUACCACAGAAGAUACAGGUGUGUACUUCUAGGUAUACCACAGAAGAUACAGGUGUGUACUUCUAGGUAUACCACAGAAGAUACAGGUGUGUACUUCUAGGUAUACCACAGAAGAUACAGGUACUACAGGAAGACCAUGGAUACUACAGGUGCGUACUUCUAGGUAUACCACAGAAGAUACAGGUGCGUACUUCUAGGUAUACCACAGAAGAUACGGGUACUACAGGAAGACCAUGGAUACUACAGGACCGUACUUCUAGGUAUACCACAGAAGAUACAGGUACUACAGGAAGACCAUUGAUACCACAGGACCGUACUUCUAGGUAUACCACAGAAGAUACAGGUACUACAGGAAGACCAUGGAUACUACAGGUGCGUACUUCUAGGUAUACCACAGAAGAUACAGGUACUACAGGAAGACCAUGGAUACUACAGGA